CCUACGUGUGGCAGCAGUGAGGAAUAUUGGUCAAUGGACGAGAGUCUGAACCAGCCAAGUAGCGUGAAGGAUGACUGCCCUAUGGGUUGUAAACUUCUUUUAUAAAGGAAUAAAACGAGGCACGUGUGCCUUUUUGCAUGUACUUUAUGAAUAAGGAUCGGCUAACUCCGUGCCAGCAGCCGCGGUAAUACGGAGGAUCCGAGCGUUAUCCGGAUUUAUUGGGUUUAAAGGGAGCGUAGAUGGGUUGUUAAGUCAGUUGUGAAAGUUUGCGGCUCAACCGUAAAAUUGCAAUUGAUACUGGCAUUCUUGAGUACAGUUGAGGUAGGCGGAAUUCGUGGUGUAGCGGUGAAAUGCUUAGAUAUCACGAAGAACCCCGAUUGCGAAGGCAGCUUACCAAACUGUGACUGACAUUGAGGCUCGAAAGUGUGGGUAUCAAACAGGAUUAGAUACCCGGGUAGUC
rnacentral:rRNA from 1 species